AUGAGCGGGUGGUCAAGUCACGGAUGGCUUAUGAUAAGUUGGGUUAAACUCUGUGUGUCACCAAGCAGGAGAAGACGAGGAAGCGGCUGUCAGAGUGGUGAGACGGGUUGUGGAAACCGAAAGUGAAGUACAACAGAGUAACUGAGGAGGUGGAGCUAGAAAACGUCAUAGGAGGAGUUUCACAAAACAGGUGACGUGUGAGAACCCCAGAGAGAAAGGAGAGGUCCCUGACGCCAAGGCGGUGUGGCUAAAGGUCAUCAAACGCAAGUGGAAGGAACCCAGGUGGACAGGUCCAUACGAGGUGACAGGGCGGACGGCUACAGCGGUCCAGCUGAAAGGGAAAGGCGACACCUGGUUCCAUUGGACGCAGUGUGCGGCAGCAGACGAGAGCCUAGUGGACGAGGACCCGGCGCCACCGGACACGGGGAGCAACAAAUCUAAGAGGCAAAAUAAAUCCUCUCCCCCGUGCAACGGGCCAAUCGGUAGUCUACCCGAAAGGCCGAAGCAAGAAGAACCGCUGAGGAGGAGGUCGCCGCGCCUACAGAAAGGAGCAACCACAAACUGAGUGGCUGGAGAAGGGUAGCUGAAAAAGAGAAAAAGCAAGCAGCAAAGAGACUCAGAAAAAUCACGCUUUGUAUUCUUUUAUUUUUAAUCAUUAAAUACACGUUGAAAAAUGCCACGCCGUGAAUUAGACCCUCAUGAGGAGAGGGCACAAAUUAAAAUAUUACUUGUUAUUGUGAGUUUGAUGUCUGUGAUGAUAUUAAUUAUGGCCGUAUGUUUGCUCGUUUAUACUUUGCAGAAAAACCCAAGCGAACUGUCCGGACCCGGAGGCCAGCCCACUCCAGCACCACAAGAGGGAUCGUUCGCCGAAACGGGGCCAAGGGUGAGAACAAAGCGUGAAAUCUCGGGUAGAAAGGAUGGGUGUCUCAGCAGAUAUAAGGGGCUAGAGUUGGACUACGUUAAAGGGUCCACAAGUGCGUAUCACGUUUGACUUAUGUGAAGUGAUAGAUUGCGAAGGGGUAAAUAGCAGCUGGAGGGGAUAUGAUGUGUGG
ensembl:lncRNA